UGUAGAAAAACAAGGGUAGGGGACCCACAGUGGGGGGCUGGGAGCUUUGCCCCUUAUAGGGAUGGAGCAGCUCAGCUCAAACCAUCCUGCUUGGCUUCUAAGGGAAAGGGACACCCCAAUCCCAGUGGCUCGGGGUGCUCUGGGUUUGCACUGUUGAAGAGCGUAUCUUUUGCGGCACAGAGCUGCCAUCUUCUAAAUGUGGCUGGCUAGAACCAGUAUUUUCUUCAACUAGCUCAUCACCAGUGUAUCUCUUGGGGACACAUACGUACUGAGACCACUUUGGUUUGUUCUGUUGGCUCCUAUCACGGCAGUAACUGUGUAGGGCCGCGGUACACAGGGACGCUUUGUGUGCCACGGCAGGUGAUUGGCAAGGCUUAAGUACUAGCUAGGAACUUGCCUUACCAUUUCCUUGCCUUUCAGCUUUGAAGGACAUGACCCAACUUCAUAUCUCAGACAAACUGUCGUCAUAGAACUUUAAGGUGUGCUGUGCUGAAAACACACGUCAGCUGCUUUUACCACCUACAAGCACUUGAUUGACACUGCAGCAUUUCAACAGAGCCCCUGUGGCGGGAGCAUGGAGGAUAACAAUCAUGGCGUUGCUCACCUGAAACAGCCGUUCCUACAUCUUGACUUGUUAAAGUGAAGCUUCCUUACUGCCUAAGCCAUUCUUUAGGAGGAGUUUUUGUUACUGACAUCAAAGCACGGUAACUGACAGGAAGUUCUUCAGCGUCUGCUGUGCCUGAGAUACUUUACAGGAACCACGAACUGUACAGCUGUGAACUGGAUUCUCAAUAAGGUUUGUCUUCAGGGAGACAAACCAUGAACACUCGAAGGAAGAAUAUCAGGCACCAAACAUUAAGGGCUUGGAUUGAGCUGACCUCCUAGGAGGCCAGCCUCAUAUAUGAACUAUAUGAUGAGCUGUAUGAGAACUACAGAUGGGCAGGGCAGAGAGUGUAGGGAGUGAAGGAGCCCUGAGUGAGUGAAGCUGUGAGUGGAUGUGUGCUGUUGACAUGGGCAUGGCCUCAGAACCUCAGAGGAAUGGCAAAACCUCCCUGCCACCUGGGAGGCUUAGAAGGAAAUGGCUGUACCUUCCUUGGGGGACCAAGUGUGAGUGUUGACAGCGUACAGAAAAUGUCCACCAGAGCUUCUCCACCUCCCCCGGACACUUAUGGCCUGAAAACUGCUCCACGGCAGAGACCACGCCUACAGAGAUUGGCCAACCCUGUCCCCUUGAUCUGGCUGUCGACCACAACCCCUGCCUCCUUGUCUGGCUAGGUGGUAACCCUGUGUCACUGUUCAGCUCUAUACACCCAACACUCUGAGCUUCUGGGGUGCCGAGACUUUCCCAGCAGAGAGCCCAGACUGCCUGA